AUUGAACGCUGGCGGCAGGCCAAACACAUGCAAGUCGAACGGUAGCACAGAGAGCUUGCUCUCGGGUGACGAGUGGCGGACGGGUGAGUAAUGUCUGGGAAACUGCCUGAUGGAGGGGGAUAACUACUGGAAACGGUAGCUAAUACCGCAUAACGUCGCAAGACCAAAGUGGGGGACCUUCGGGCCUCAUGCCAUCAGAUGUGCCCAGAUGGGAUUAGCUGGUAGGUGAGGUAACGGCUCACCUAGGCGACGAUCCCUAGCUGGUCUGAGAGGAUGACCAGCCACACUGGAACUGAGACACGGUCCAGACUCCUACGGGAGGCAGCAGUGGGGAAUAUUGCACAAUGGGCGCAAGCCUGAUGCAGCCAUGCCGCGUGUAUGAAGAAGGCCUUCGGGUUGUAAAGUACUUUCAGCGAGGAGGAAGGCGAUAAGGUUAAUAACCUUGUCGAUUGACGUUACUCGCAGAAGAAGCACCGGCUAACUCCGUGCCAGCAGCCGCAGUAA
rnacentral:rRNA from 1 species